rnacentral:rRNA from 1 species
AACGAACGCUGGCGGCAUGCCUAACACAUGCAAGUCGAACGAGACCUUCGGGUCUAGUGGCGCACGGGUGCGUAACGCGUGGGAACCUGCCCUUAGGUUCGGAAUAACUCCCCGAAAGGGGUGCUAAUACCGGAUAAUGUCUUCGGACCAAAGAUUUAUCGCCUUUGGAUGGGCCCGCGUUGGAUUAGCUAGUUGGUAGGGUAAAAGCCUACCAAGGCGACGAUCCAUAGCUGGUCUGAGAGGAUGAUCAGCCACACUGGGACUGAGACACGGCCCAGACUCCUACGGGAGGCAGCAGUGGGGAAUAUUAGACAAUGGGCGAAAGCAUGAUCCAGCAAUGCCGCGUGAGUGAUGAAGGCCUUAGGGUUGUAAAGCUCUUUUACCCGGGAUGAUAAUGACAGUACCGGGAGAAUAAGCUCCGGCUAACUCCGUG